UUAAGAUUUUCAGUUUUCCGAUCGUUCAACAAAAGCCGGUAUGGCUCUUUGUCAGCGUCACUCUGAGGGGUGGUCAUCUUCUUCCGAGCGCAAUCAACAAUGGCAGAUUUCUUAGGCAAGCAUCCAGCCCACCGGUUGCGCAUACAGGUGCCAAAAAAAAAGUUUAGCCAAGCAACUAAAUGAUAAGGCUUGGUGGGAAAACCAGAGUAAAUAUAGGUAACCAUUUUUAUCGCUGGAGAGAAGUUAUGGCCCUAAAAGGGCUGAAGUCUAAUGCAGAGAUGGCCUGUUUUCUGCUUGGCAGCUGUGAAAAGGCCCCACCACAAUCCACUCCAAGGAAAGUGUUACCUCUGCCUGCUUAAUUAAGCAUUGGAGUGGCAUUCAGCACCACACUGUCAGAUAGGGGGGAUGAGUUUCUGGAGGGGCGUGAAGUGGUUGAGCUAGAUGGGAGCACCAUGGAGGCAACAGAAGGCGUAAACAGGCUACACAGAAGUUAUUUUUUUCGUUAGCUAUUCCGAGACAUUAUCACCCUAUAUGUGUAUUGCCAAUGUUGUACAGAUCUUAUUCAGUAAUUAUUCUUUUUUUUGUUAUGUUCUAUCACUUCUAUUUGGCCUGAUGAAUAUGAGCAUCUCUAAAGACCCCUGCUGCUGGACCUCUCUUAAGACCCCUCUGAAGCCUCCACUAUCAAGCAACUAGGAGACCUCCCUGCCUCCCUCCCAGUCCCAACCCCAAAACUGAUGCAGCACUUUCUCCAUGUACCAGGCCACACACACAGACUGAUGACAGGAACAUACACAUGGACAGCUUAAGCUCUAUGGCUGGCUGGUAUAGUGAAGGAAUGGGAUGAAAUGAGCAUUGAUCUAAAAAUCCUUAUGCUGUACAGAGGGCUUACAGUGCCAGACCAUUUUCAUAGGUUUACUUUGCUCUGUAAACAUGGCCUUACUUUUGAGAGUACAUUACUUCAUUAAAGGCCCACCGUCAUCACAUGAUCACCCCAUUCAAUUUGCCAAGCAGCUCCUCCUAAACGGCUCACAUGAGGUCAUUUGAAUGGGGAGAUGAUUAGACGACAGUGAGCCUUUAAACAGUUAGUUCAGUUUAAAUCUA